CAUUAUAUUACAUGUCUGCUCGUUUGACGUGCUAACCAUGUGGUGUGGAACACAUGAAUAUUACAUGUCUGCUCGUUUAACAUGCUAACAUUGUGGUGAGGACAUGAAUAUUACAUGUCUGCUCGUUUGACGUGCUAACCAUGUGGUGUGGAACACAUGAAUAUUACAUGUCUGGUCGUUUAUCAUGCUUACCUUGUGAUGUGGAACACAUGAAUAUCACAUGUCUGGUCUUUUAACAUGCUAGCCUUGUGGUGUGGAACACAUGAAUAUCACAUGAUUCUUAUAUGGAAAUCAUGUUAAAAAAAAAUUGCCAAUGUUUCCUCAGUUAUUUUCACUGAACCCCAAUCUGACCCCAUUUAAAAGAGCUUAAAAAUCUUCCGUAAACAUAUACAUGGUCAAACCUAAAACACAGUGACAGUUUAAAGAAAAGAUUUUUGUUGUCUCAAACCAAAUACUUUGACAGAAAUAUAAAGACUGGAAUUGAGCUUGUCACACAAAGACGACAUUUUAUUGAACAUUCACCUACAAAAA
rnacentral:lncRNA from 1 species